rnacentral:rRNA from 1 species
UGGGGAAUUUUGGACAAUGGGGGAAACCCUGAUCCAGCCAUCCCGCGUGUGCGAUGAAGGCCUUCGGGUUGUAAAGCACUUUUGGCAGGAAAGAAACGUCAUGGGUUAAUACCCCGUGAAACUGACGGUACCUGCAGAAUAAGCACCGGCUAACUACGUGCCAGCAGCCGCGGUAAUACGUAGGGUGCAAGCGUUAAUCGGAAUUACUGGGCGUAAAGCGUGCGCAGGCGGUUCGGAAAGAAAGAUGUGAAAUCCCAGAGCUCAACUUUGGAACUGCAUUUUUAACUACCGGGCUAGAGUGUGUCAGAGGGAGGUGGAAUUGCGCGUGUAGCAGUGAAAUGCGUAGAUAUGCGGAGGAACACCGAUGGCGAAGGCAGCCUCCUGGGAUAUCACUGACGCUCAUGCACGAAAGCGUGGGUAGCAAACAGG